rnacentral:rRNA from 1 species
AUUGAACGCUGGCGGCAUGCUUUACACAUGCAAGUCGAACGGUAACAGGCCACAAGGUGCUGACGAGUGGCGAACGGGUGAGUAAUGCAUCGGAACGUGCCCAGUCGUGGGGGAUAACUACUCGAAAGAGUAGCUAAUACCGCAUACGAUCUAUGGAUGAAAGCGGGGGACCGUAAGGCCUCGCGCGAUUGGAGCGGCCGAUGUCAGAUUAGGUAGUUGGUGGGGUAAAGGCUCACCAAGCCAACGAUCUGUAGCUGGUCUGAGAGGACGACCAGCCACACUGGGACUGAGACACGGCCCAGACUCCUACGGGAGGCAGCAGUGGGGAAUUUUGGACAAUGGGCGCAAGCCUGAUCCAGCAAUGCCGCGUGCAGGAAGAAGGCCUUCGGGUUGUAAACUGCUUUUGUACGGAACGAAACGGCUCUGGUUAAUACCCGGGGCUAAUGACGGUACCGUAAGAAUAAGCACCGGCUAACUACGUG